rnacentral:rRNA from 1 species
UACGUAGGGGGCUAGCGUUGUCCGGAUUUAUUGGGCGUAAAGAGCGUGUAGGCGGCCAGGUAGGUCUGCUGUGAAAACUCGAGGCUCAACCUCGAGACGUCGGCGGAACCAUCUGGCUAGAGUCCGGAAGAGGAGAGUGGAAUUCCUGGUGUAGCGGUGGAAUGCGCAGAUAUCAGGAGGAACACCGGUGGCGAAGGCGGCAUCCUGGACCAACACUGACACUGAUGAGCGAAAGCCAGGGGAGCAAACGGG